GAUGAACGCUAGCUACAGGCUUAACACAUGCAAGUCGAGGGAAACGAUAGAGAAAGCUUGCUUUUCUAGGCGUCGACCGGCGCACGGGUGAGUAACGCGUAUCCAACCUGCCCAUCACUUGGGGAUAACCUUGCGAAAGUAAGACUAAUACCCAAUGACGUCUCUAGAAGACAUCUGAAAGAGAUUAAAGAUUUAUCGGUGAUGGAUGGGAUGCGUCUGAUUAGCUUGUUGGCGGGUAACGGCCCACCAAGGCGACGAUCAGUAGGGGUUCUGAGAGGAAGGUUCCCCCCACAUUGGAACUGAGACACGGUCCAAACUCCUACGGGAGGCAGCAGUGAGGAAUAUUGGUCAAUGGACGAGAGUCUGAACCAGCCAAGUAGCGUGAAGGAUGACUGCCCUAUGGGUUGUAAACGUUCUUUUAUACGGGAUAAAGUGAGGCACGUGUGCCUUUUGUAUGUACCGUAUGAUAAGGAUCGGCUAACUCCGUGCCAGCAG
rnacentral:rRNA from 1 species